GACGAACGCUGGCGGCGUGCUUAACACAUGCAAGUCGAACGGUAAGGCACUGCUUUUGUCGGGUGCUCGAGUGGCGGACGGGUGAGUAACACGUGUGUAACCUGCCCUUGACUUUGGGGGGAUUUCUGGUAGCUGGGGCUAAUACUAGCUAGGAGCGUCUGCUGCCUGGUGGGGGUGGGAUAGUGUCGGCUGGUGGUGAUGGACGCGCGGCUUAUCAGCUUGUUGGUGGGGUAGUGUCUUACCACGGGUUUGGCGGGUAGCCCCCCUGGGAGGGUGACCCGCCACCUUGGCACUGAGGUGCGGCCCAGACUCCUACGGGUGGCAGCAGUGGGGAAGAUUGCAGAAUGCGCGGAAGGCUGAUGAAGCAGCCCCGCGUGCUGGAAAACGGCUUUCGGGUUGUGAAACGCUUUCGCCUGUGACCAAGCGUGAGUGACGGUAAUUGGUAAAGAAGCACCGGCUAACUUCGUG
rnacentral:rRNA from 1 species